rnacentral:lncRNA from 1 species
CGCCCGCCCCCCGCCUCCCGCCGCGCUCCCUCGCUCUCUCGAAUGUUUUCCUUCCUGGAAGAGAGAAACUGAAAGGCAGAACUGAGAAAGCGCUUUGCUCAUUGAUCUUGAGAGUUUCAGUGCAGAAACUGACGUGAAUUCCCAGCACUGAGCUCAGCCUCUUAAAGGAGCCACCAGGAAAUAAAAGCUCGGGUUACAGCCCGGCAUCGGGGAAAUAAAAGCCGGCGGGGGAGGGGCGGGCGAGGAAACCGGGGCGCGGGCCGAGCUGCGCGGGGCGCACAGGUCCGCCACCCCCAGGGGACGCCCCCGCGCGUGCGCCCGCGACCCUCGCGCCCCCCUGCGGGCCGAGCUGGGGCUCCCUGGCCCGAGGAAGACACCUUUAAAGAACGUUACACCGAGGCCCCAGAAACCGCAAAACAGGAUUGGUCACUUCCCUACCUGAAUUGGCCAACAUUAUAAAUGAGCUCCAUGCUGGUACAGACACAACCAGGGAUAAAGAUUCAACAGCUGGUGUAGCCCAGACCUAUGGGUCAGAGUCAACCGGGAGCAUAUUCCAGGGGGACACACAGACUCUCAACCCACUUGUGGACCAAGAUUCAACAGCUGGUGUAGCCCAGACCUAUGGACCAGAAUCAACUGGGAACAUAUUCCAGGAGGACACACAGACUUUCAAAUUCUCUACUGCCUCGGUGUUGGACAUGUCCCCCUUUGACUCUGUGGAAGAAACCAGUGAGGCUACAGAAAAAGAAACAAAGUCUACAGCAAGCAGGGCUACCUAUCUGGCAUCCUCCACUUUCUGAGAAGAUGCACAUGUUUGAAGAAGCUAUCACAUACCGCAAGAGAGUGCAUAAUUGUAGAAAAGUAGUGAAAAAUUAGAUGUACCCAGCUGAAAGGAAACAUCAAGACAUGGAUCUUGGAUGAGUGCUGUGUAUUGUACAUGCAUAAGAGAGGGGCAUUUCUUAGCUCCAUCCCAUUUAAUAUGGGCUUAAUAAACUUUCACUGAAAUGCAUUUUGAGAGUUUUCAUUUUAGAAGAGAAG